rnacentral:rRNA from 1 species
UACGUAGGGUGCAAGCGUUGUCCGGAAUUAUUGGGCGUAAAGAGCUCGUAGGCGGUUUGUUGCGUCUAUCGUGAAAACCUGCAGCUUAACUGUGGGCUUGCGGUGGAUACGGGCAGACUUGAGUUCGGUAGGGGAGACUGGAAUUCCUGGUGUAGCGGUGAAAUGCGCAGAUAUCGGGAGGAACACCUGUGGCGAAAGCGGCGCACUGGACCAUAACUGACGCUGAGGCGCGAAAGCGUGGGGAGCGAACAGG